rnacentral:rRNA from 1 species
GAUGAAUGCUGGCGGCGUGCCUAACACAUGCAAGUCGAGCGGCAGCGCGAGUAGUGUUCUACUUGGCGGCGAGCGGCGGACGGCUGAGUAAUGCGUAUGUACGUGCUCCAAAGUGAGGAAUAACUGCCCGAAAGGGUGGCUAAUCCCGCAUAUGGUCUGCGGAUUAAAGUCUUCGGAUGCUUUGGGAGCGGCCUGCGUUAGAUUAGGUAGUUGGUGAGGUAAUGGCUCAACAAGCCGACGAGCUAUAGCUGGUCUGAGAGGAUGAUCAGCCAGACUGUGAGUGGGAAACGGUCCAGAAUACUAGGGGAGGGAGGAAUGCGGGAUCCUGCCAAAUGGGGGAAAGGAAGAAGGAGUAACGACGGGAGAAGGAUGAAGGUCCGAGGGAAGUGAACUUAUUUUAUAAGUGACUAAUUUGACGGUAACUUAUGAAUAAGCACCGGCUAACUACGUG